UUUUAAGUAUUUUAAAAAUUAGAAAAAUAAAUUGUAAAUUUAUCAGUAAAGAGUGAUUCUUUCUUAAUAU
rnacentral:tRNA from 1 species